GACGAACGCUGGCGGCGUGCUUAACACAUGCAAGUCGAACGGAAAGGCCCUGCUUUUGUGGGGUGCUCGAGUGGCGAACGGGUGAGUAACACGUGAGUAACCUGCCCUUGACUUUGGGAUAACUUCAGGAAACUGGGGCUAAUACCGGAUAGGAGCUCCUGCUGCAUGGUGGGGGUUGGAAAGUUUCGGCGGUUGGGGAUGGACUCGCGGCUUAUCAGCUUGUUGGUGGGGUAGUGGCUUACCAAGGCUUUGACGGGUAGCCGGCCUGAGAGGGUGACCGGCCACAUUGGGACUGAGAUACAGCCCAGACUCCUACGGGAGGCAGCAGUGGGGAAUAUUGCACAAUGGGCGGAAGCCUGAUGCAGCAACGCCGCGUGCGGGAUGACGGCCUUCGGGCUGUAAACCGCUUUCGCCUGUGACGAAGCGUGAGUGACGGUAAUGGGUAAAGAAGCACCGGCUAACUACGUG
rnacentral:rRNA from 1 species